rnacentral:rRNA from 1 species
CUACGGGUCGCUGCAGUGAGGAAUAUUGCACAAUGGGGGGAACCCUGAUGCAGCAACGCCGCGUGGAGGAUGACGCAUUUCGGUGUGUAAACUCCUUUUAUAUGUCAAGAAAAUGACGGUAGCAUAUGAAUAAGCACCGGCUAACUCCGUGCCAGCAGCCGCGGUAAUACGGAGGGUGCAAGCGUUACUCGGAAUCACUGGGCGUAAAGGACGCGUAGGCGGGUUGGAAAGUCAGGUGUGAAAUCUUACAGCUUAACUGUAGAACUGCACUUGAAACUUCUAAUCUAGAGUGUGGGAGGGGGAGAUGGAAUUAGUGGCGUAGGGGUAAAAUCCGUAGAUAUCACUAGGAAUACCUAAAGCGAAGGCGAUCUCCUGGAACAUUACUGACGCUAAGGCGUGAAAGCGUGGGGAGCAAACAGGAUUAGAUACCCGCGUAGUC